rnacentral:rRNA from 1 species
AUGAACGCUAGCUACAGGCUUAACACAUGCAAGUCGAGGGGCAGCAUUUUAGUUUGCUUGCAAACUAAAGAUGGCGACCGGCGCACGGGUGAGUAACACGUAUCCAACCUGCCGAUAACUCGGGGAUAGCCUUUCGAAAGAAAGAUUAAUAUCCGAUAGUAUAUUAAAACCGCAUGGUUUUACUAUUAAAGAAUUUCGGUUAUCGAUGGGGAUGCGUUCCAUUAGUUUGUUGGCGGGGUAACGGCCCACCAAGACUACGAUGGAUAGGGGUUCUGAGAGGAAGGUCCCCCACAUUGGAACUGAGACACGGUCCAAACUCCUACGGGAGGCAGCAGUGAGGAAUAUUGGUCAAUGGACGAGAGUCUGAACCAGCCAAGUAGCGUGAAGGAUGACUGCCCUAUGGGUUGUAAACUUCUUUUAUAUGGGAAUAAAGUAUUCCACGUGUGGGAUUUUGUAUGUACCAUAUGAAUAAGGAUCGGCUAACUCCGUGCCAGCAGCCGCGGUAAUACGGAGGAUCCGAGCGUUAUCCGGAUUUAUUGGGUUUAAAGGGAGCGUAGGUGGAUUGUUAAGUCAGUUGUGAAAGUUUGCGGCUCAACCGUAAAAUUGCAGUUGAAACUGGCAGUCUUGAGUACAGUAGAGGUGGGCGGAAUUCGUGGUGUAGCGGUGAAAUGCUUAGAUAUCACGAAGAACUCCGAUUGCGAAGGCAGCUCACUAGACUGCAACUGACACUGAUGCUCGAAAGUGUGGGUAUCAAACAGGAUUAGAUACCCUGGUAGUCCACACAGUAAACGAUGAAUACUCGCUGUUUGCGAUAUACAGUAAGCGGCCAAGCGAAAGCAUUAAGUAUUCCACCUGGGGAGUACGUUCGCAAGAAUGAAACUCAAAGGAAUUGACGGGGACCCGCACAAGCGGUGGAGCAUGUGGUUUAAUUCGAAGCAACGCGAAGAACCUUACCUGCUCUUGACAUCCCACUGACAGGUCAGUAAUGUGACCCUUUCUUCGGAACAGUGGUGACAGGUGGUGCAUGGUUGUCGUCAGCUCGUGUCGUGAGAUGUUGGGUUAAGUCCCGCAACGAGCGCAACCCUUAUGGUCAGUUACUACGCAAGAGGACUCUGGCCAGACUGCCGUUGACAAAACGGAGGAAGGUGGGGAUGACGUCAAAUCAGCACGGCCCUUACGUCCGGGGCUACACACGUGUUACAAUGGGGGGUACAGAAGGCAGCUACCUGGCGACAGGAUGCUAAUCCCAAAAACCUCUCUCAGUUCGGAUCGAAGUCUGCAACCCGACUUCGUGAAGCUGGAUUCGCUAGUAAUCGCGCAUCAGCCAUGGCGCGGUGAAUACGUUCCCGGGCCUUGUACACACCGCCCGUCACACCAUGGGAGUCGGAUAUGCCCGAAGUCAGUGACCCAACCAUAUGGAGGGAGCUGCCGAAGGUGGAGCCGAUAACUGGGGUG